UACGUAGGGUGCAAGCGUUGUCCGGAAUUAUUGGGCGUAAAGAGCUCGUAGGCGGUUCGUCGCGUCGGCUGUGAAAACCUGAGGCUCAACCUCAGGCCUGCAGUCGAUACGGGCGGACUUGAGUACUGCAGGGGAGACUGGAAUUCCUGGUGUAACGGUGAAAUGCGCAGAUAUCAGGAGGAACACCAAUAGCGAAGGCAGCUCGCUGGGACGGUACUGACGCUGAGACGCGAAAGCGUGGGGAGCGAACAGGG
rnacentral:rRNA from 1 species